GACGAACGCUGGCGGCGUGCCUAAUACUUGCAAGUCGAGCGCAGGAAACUGACGGAACUCUUCGGAGGGAAGGCAGCGGAAUGAGCGGCGGACGGGUGAGUAACACGUAAGGAACCUACCUCAAGGAUUGGGAUAACUCCGAGAAAUCGGAGCUAAUACCGGAUAGUUCAACGGACCGCAUGGUCCGCUGAUGAAAGGCGCUCCGGCGUCACCUUGAGAUGGCCUUGCGGUGCAUUAGCUAGUUGGUGGGGUAACGGCCCACCAAGGCGACGAUGCAUAGCCGACCUGAGAGGGUGAUCGGCCACACUGGGACUGAGACACGGCCCAGACUCCUACGGGAGGCAGCAGUAGGGAAUCUUCCACAAUGGACGAAAGUCUGAUGGAGCAACGCCGCGUGAGUGAUGAAGGUUUUCGGAUCGUAAAACUCUGUUGUAAGGGAAGAACACGUACGAGAGGAAAUGCUCGUACCUUGACGGUACCUUACGAGAAAGCCACGGCUAACUACGUGCCAGCCGCCGCCGUAA
rnacentral:rRNA from 1 species